rnacentral:rRNA from 1 species
GAUGAACGCUGGCGGCGUGCCUAAUACAUGCAAGUCGAGCGAACAGAUGAGGAGCUUGCUCCUCUGACGUUAGCGGCGGACGGGUGAGUAACACGUGGAUAACCUACCUAUAAGACUGGGAUAACUUCGGGAAACCGGAGCUAAUACCGGAUAAUAUAUUGAACCGUAUGGUUCAAUAGUGAAAGACGGUUUUGCUGUCACUUAUAGAUGGAUCCGCGCCGCAUUAGCUAGUUGGUAAGGUAACGGCUUACCAAGGCAACGAUGCGUAGCCGACCUGAGAGGGUGAUCGGCCACACUGGAACUGAGACACGGUCCAGACUCCUACGGGAGGCAGCAGUAGGGAAUCUUCCGCAAUGGGCGAAAGCCUGACGGAGCAACGCCGCGUGAGUGAUGAAGGUCUUCGGAUCGUAAAACUCUGUUAUUAGGGAAGAACAAAUGUGUAAGUAACUAUGCACGUCUUGACGGUACCUAAUCAGAAAGCCACGGCUAACUACGU